rnacentral:rRNA from 1 species
UACAGAGGUCUCAAGCGUUAUUCGGAUUCAUUGGGCGUAAAGGGUGCGUAGGUGGCGAUGUAAGUCUGACGUCAAAUUUUGGGGCUUAACCCCAACAAGCGUUGGAUACUGCGUUGCUUGAGGAUUGUAGAGGAGAGUGGAAUUCACGGUGUAGCAGUGAAAUGCGUAGAUAUCGUGAGGAAGACCAGUUGCGAAGGCGGGGUCUCUGGACAGUUCCUGACACUGAGGCACGAAGGCCAGGGGAGCAAACGGG